UCAAAUAAUCAAAUUCAUCAUGCAACCUUGAACCCUCCCCCUCAAUUUUAGAGCUUCAAAAUAUUCAAAAUGGCCGCCGCCUGGCGUAUUGGUGAUAGUGGGUAGUGUUGUGACAACGAUCCCGAUGAUAAUUCUUAUUCUCAGGGAUUCGAUAAUAUCUUCAGCUGAAGGCUUCAUGUGAUCUGCGUGCUUGUGACAGCGAUAAAAUGGUCCAAUUCAAGCUGUCUUCCAAAACCAUGGAAAUUCUGUUUGCAAGAACGCCAAUAUGUUCCAUCGGGAUAUUCGGCCACAUCUUCAACAAUCACAGGCUAUUCAAAAUAUCUAUGCAUCACCUAUUUAUGUGCCAGUUCCCGUUUCACUGCCUUCACAAAUCAAUCAACCGCAGCCAGUGGAACGUUAGGAUUCAAAAGAAAGAGUUUCUCAGUUGGAAGAUCUAUAGUGGAUGCUGGAACUACAGAAGAAGAUUCAGGAAUUGGAGUUUAGUUGGCAGGAAGCCAAAGCCAAACAGGCUGUUCCUCCCAGUGGAAUUAAGAGCCAGCAGAGCGUCAACGACAAAGCGAUAUCUGCAGCUAUUUUUCACUGGAGCAAGAAACCAAAUUUUGUGUGUUCCUGAAAAGAAUCCUUCUACCUCAUCUUGUGUCUCUUCUAAAAUUCUGAAUGAAAUCGAUCUUCUGCAAGUCCGAUUGAGCAAUGUGAUCGCCUCAACCGGAGCUGUUGUUGUCAACCGUCGUCGCAUUGGAAAGAUAACCGACAACUAUCAUGAGCCGAUUGGGCGUGGAAAAUUCGGUCAAGUCUUCAAAGGAACUUGGCAUGGAUGUCAAGUAGCCGUCAAAGAAAUCCGCUCUCCUCGGCGUUGCAGCACAGUCGUCGAGGCUCGAUCGUUCGCCAAGAUGAUUCAACGAGAGGUUGAAGCCCUUUCAGCUGUCCAGCACCGCAAUAUUAUUGGACUGCUCGGUCUUUGCAUGGAUAACGAAUCGAGUGAUGGUGAAGCAUCGAUUAGAGUCUCGCUCAUCUUUGAAUUCACCAACGGAGGGACUCUUUUCGACUGACUUUUCGGCGGCCUAGCAAAAAAUAGCAAAUUCAAAUUAGACGUGAAUCAAAUGAUGCUGACCGCUCGCCAUCUCACCGCGAGACUCUCCAUCUACUGCAUUCCACUCAGCAGAAGCCGGGCGGUUCAGUUAUGGUCCACCGUGACGUGAAAUCCGCCAAUGUUUUACUGCAACGGGAUGACGAAGGAAGAGUCGUGCGAGCUGUUUUGGACGAUUUAACGUCUUCAUUUGGAUCUUAACGAAAGUGGCUCCCGCUCUGGCCUAGCAGCCAGUUUCAUGACAGCCGUGGUAGGUACCCACGGCUAUGUCGAUCCUUUGUGUGCGGAGCGUUUAACCUGCAGACGGGUCGGCCAGUUUGCAUGUCCUUCAGGCUUGAAGGUCGCGGGGAAUAUUACGUUAAACUGUUAAUGCGGUGGUGUAGAGGUUGGGUGAGAAUUGGACGUGUUGCAUCAUUAUCAAGCAGGAGAAAAAAGGCCAAAGAAAUCAGUCGAGUGAUCAUCUCCGACACUGCAAUAGCAACUGCAGUGCACUAUUGAUCAUCAAUUGAUUCUUCACUGUGUAAUAAGUUCGUAAUCAUGGUUAAUUAUGGCGUUGUGCUGCUGUUGGGUCGACCACGAGUGUACCGAUGUCUCCUGGAUACGGUGGCCCGAGUUACUUCACCAAAGCGCCUGAGUACUACACUGAGGCUCCCAAGUACUACACCAUCAAAGCUCCAGAGUAUUACACUGCAAUCUACGCUGCCCAAGCUUACACCACCAAGGGACCGGAGUACUGCACCACAACCUACGCUGCCCCAGUUCACUACGCCGCCCUGAGCUACACAACCACAUAUGAGGCAGUCGUUAUUACUGCACAGCGGCUGCUUCUUAGUAACAACCUACGUUACACCUAGAUGCUACACCGAAGCCCCCAAGUACUGCACCGGCAAGGCCGAAUAUUACAUAACCACGUUUGCUGCCCCAGCUACCCUGCUACACCGAGAAACCCAAGUAUUUCUCUGCUCCAAGCAACUAUCGAACAGAGGCUCCUGUUGACUACACCACCCAUGCCCCGGGGUUUUACAGUACAACCUACGCUGCCCCAUCUACACCAUCAAGGCUCCAAAGUACUACGCAACCGAGGCACCCGAGCUACUACUUAGGCUGCUCCGACUUUCUGCACCGAAGCUGCGAAAUAUUCCACUGCCCCGAGUUACUACACCAUCAAGGCUGUUAUAAUGUUACAUCACAACCUACGCUUCUCCAGUUUACUACAUAAUGGUGAAGCCAGAAAUGGAAACAGUUAAUUUAUAGUCUAGUGCUGUUGUUUGGUGUAUCGUUGACGGUCGAGUCGUCCACUGGUGUACCGGUGCCCCUGGGUGUGGCAGAUACCAAACCGCAAUGCUACCGUCUUACUACACAACAAACAUACGCAACCAGUUACUACACCUAAAAGGUCGUAUGUUACACAAGGACGUAUGCUACACCAGUUUACUACACCGUGGAAUUCAAGUAUUACCCGAACAAAUACCAAACAGAGGCUCCUGUUUACUACACUACCAUCGCCCUCGAGUGUUACACUAAAACCUACGUUGCCCCCAACUACUACACUGUGGCUCCGAAGUCCUACACAUCAAUGCACAACCAAUUCGCAAUUGUUUAUUUUUACGUCGUGCUGCUGUUGGUUGUUCUAUCGUUGCUAACGUGUUGACCAUUGUACCGAACUCCACCGACUUUGGGAAGAGAAAAAAUCGGAUUAAACAAGAGAGAAAAGGCGAUUUAUCAAUUGAAUGAGCAUCUCCUACCCGGCAGCAAUUGCAUUCUUCCAAUACUCAAUCAAAGGAGUACUACACCACCAAGGCAGCGGAGUACUACACCACCGAGGCAGCGGAGUACUACACCACCGAGGCAGCGGAGUACUACACCACCGAGGCAGCGGAGUACUACACCACCGAGGCAGCGGAGUACUACACCACCGAGGCAGCGGAGUACUACACCACCGAGGCAGCGGAGUACUACACCACCAAGGCAGCGGAGUACUACACCACCAAGGCAGCGGAGUACUACACCACCAAGGCAGCGGAGUACUACACCACCAAGGCAGCGGAGUACUACACCACCAAGGCAGCGGAGUACCCAGGCUGCUGAAUUGUGAAUUGUUUGUUUUAUGUUUUAGAGGUGACUACUGCCUUAUUCAUGGACAUGUUCUUGUGGUUCGACGAUGAUAUUUCAAGGAUUAGUUACGAAAGACACUUGUAACUGUAGAUUUUAUCAAAUCUUACUGUAGAUUUUAUCAAAUCUUAUAAGUAAUGGGGAAGUGGGUGACCUUUGUAAAAAUGAAAGACUUUGAAGUUGAGAGAAAUAUAUUGAUACAAUUCAUAAACAAA